ensembl:snRNA U6 U6 spliceosomal RNA
GUGCUCGCUUUGGCAGCACAUAAACUAAAAUUGGAAUGAUACAGAGAAUAUUAGCAUGGCUCCUGCACAGGAUGACACACAAAUUUGUGAAGCAUUUCAUAAAAGA